rnacentral:rRNA from 1 species
AGUCACUGACAUUAGAUACCCCGGUAGUCCCAGCCGUAAACUAUGCGCGUUAGGUGUACUGGUGACCACGAGUCACCGGGGUGCCGAAGGGAAACCGUGAAACGUGCCGCCUGGGAAGUACGGUCGCAAGGCUGAAACUUAAAGGAAUUGGCGGGGGAGCACCGCAACGGGAGGAGCGUGCGGUUUAAUUGGAUUCAACACCGUAAAACUCACCAGGGAAGACUGUUACAUGAAGGCCGAGAUGAAGACUCUGCUAGAUUUUCAG